rnacentral:rRNA from 2 species
AUGGAAGUCGCUCGAGCUCUGGUAUUGAUUGAUGCUUGCAUCAUGAUUUACAUUUGAGUGAGUGGCGAACUGGUGAGUAACACGUGGGAAACCUGCCCAGAAGCGGGGGAUAACACCUGGAAACAGAUGCUAAUACCGCAUAACAACUUGGACCGCAUGGUCCGAGUUUGAAAGAUGGCUUCGGCUAUCACUUUUGGAUGGUCCCGCGGCGUAUUAGCUAGAUGGUGGGGUAACGGCUCACCAUGGCAAUGAUACGUAGCCGACCUGAGAGGGUAAUCGGCCACAUUGGGACUGAGACACGGCCCAAACUCCUACGGGAGGCAGCAGUAGGGAAUCUUCCACAAUGGACGAAAGUCUGAUGGAGCAACGCCGCGUGAGUGAAGAAGGGUUUCGGCUCGUAAAACUCUGUUGUUAAAGAAGAACAUAUCUGAGAGUAACUGUUCAGGUAUUGACGGUAUUUAACCAGAAAGCCACGGCUAACUACGUGCCAGCAGCCGCGGUAAUACGUAGGUGGCAAGCGUUGUCCGGAUUUAUUGGGCGUAAAGCGAGCGCAGGCGGUUUUUUAAGUCUGAUGUGAAAGCCUUCGGCUCAACCGAAGAAGUGCAUCGGAAACUGGGAAACUUGAGUGCAGAAGAGGACAGUGGAACUCCAUGUGUAGCGGUGAAAUGCGUAGAUAUAUGGAAGAACACCAGUGGCGAAGGCGGCUGUCUGGUCUGUAACUGACGCUGAGGCUCGAAAGUAUGGGUAGCAAACAGGAUUAGAUACCCUGGUAGUCCAUACCGUAAACGAUGAAUGCUAAGUGUUGGAGGGUUUCCGCCCUUCAGUGCUGCAGCUAACGCAUUAAGCAUUCCGCCUGGGGAGUACGGCCGCAAGGCUGAAACUCAAAGGAAUUGACGGGGGCCCGCACAAGCGGUGGAGCAUGUGGUUUAAUUCGAAGCUACGCGAAGAACCUUACCAGGUCUUGACAUACUAUGCAAAUCUAAGAGAUUAGACGUUCCCUUCGGGGACAUGGAUACAGGUGGUGCAUGGUUGUCCUCAGCUCGUGUCGUGAGAUGUUGGGUUAAGUCCCGCAACGAGCGCAACCCUUAUUAUCAGUUGCCAGCAUUAAGUUGGGCACUCUGGUGAGACUGCCGGUGACAAACCGGAAGAAGGU